CUAGGAGGAUUCUUGAUAUACUCGAACAUCUGGUAAUCUUCCCCAUGCAGUCGUUCACUAUCGUGACUGACCAUGAAUUGCGCUUCAACAGGGGUUUCACACUCUCAUAUGGCGCCUUUCAAGCCUACUACCAGCACAACUUGCUCUCGAGCUCUUCUGCGUCGGCGAUCAGUUGGAUUGGAACAGUUCAAGGUUGGCUGCUCAUUCUCGUCGGGGUAUUGUCAGGAC
rnacentral:misc_RNA from 1 species